UGACUCAGAUGGUAAAGAAUCUGCCUGCAGUGUAGAAGACCUAGGUUCGAUCCCUAGGUCAA
rnacentral:tRNA from 1 species